GACGAACGCUGGCGGCGUGCCUCAUACAUGCAAGUAGUACGCAGUUGCGAACGGGUGAGUAACGCUUAGGUAACUACCUAUUAGAGGGGGAUAACCAUUGGACACGUUAGCUAAUACCUCAUACUAGUACCUGGACCCGCGUUCUCUUAGCUAGUAGGUAGGGUAAUGGCAUCCCUAGGCAACGAGGCAUAGCCGAACUGGUAGGGGGGUCGGCCAGACUGGGACUGGUACACGGCCCAGACUCCUACGGGAUGCAGCAGUAAGGAAGCUUCGGGAAUGGGUGGAAGCCGGGCCGGGCAACGCCGCGUGAGUGAAGCAGGUUUUCGGAUCGUAAAGCUCUGGUGUUAAGGAAGCGGUACUUAACCAGAAAGGGACGGCUGACUACGUGCCAGCAGCCGCGGUAAUAC
rnacentral:rRNA from 1 species